AAAAUCUAGCGACUUCUUUUUGUGUUAUCUGAGACUUUGGCAACAACACGAAACGGUCUGCAGUAACUGUCCUUCCUGACUGAGAAUCAAGUUCUGACUGAUCCACAAUGGAAAAUGCAUAGGAUGAUGGAGCGAAUGCCUCUGGAGGUUCAUCGGGUCCUGCAGCCAAACUCUCUGCAGGAAUGCUGGCUGAAACCAAGGCAAGCCGCAGAAAGCCUGCAAUCCGGCUGCACAACUUUCUCUCCUUUAUUUUAAUUACAAUCCAAAUGUCAAAGCCAGAGAUUAAUUUCAUUUAAUUCAUGCCUGAAGCCUGCAGCUUGUGUAAUCCUUCAGCAAAGGUUGAAUAUGUGAAGCACCUGAUGUUUUUGUUUUUUAGAAAAUGUCUGAUUCAUUCCUCCAGGUAGACUUAGGGAUUCACUACUCGCUUAUGAGAGCAGGCUCAAAACAACCACCUGUUAUCAUGUAAAUAAAUAACUAAAUAAAUAAAUA